GACGAACGCUGGCGGCGUGCUUAACACAUGCAAGUCGAACGGAAAGGCCCUGCUUUUGUGGGGUGCUCGAGUGGCGAACGGGUGAGUAACACGUGAGUAACCUGCCCUUGACUUUGGGAUAACUUCAGGAAACUGGGGCUAAUACCGGAUAGGAGCUCCUGCUGCAUGGUGGGGGUUGGAAAGUUUCGGCGGUUGGGGAUGGACUCGCGGCUUAUCAGCUUGUUGGUGGGGUAGUGGCUUACCAAGGCUUGGACGGGUAGCCGGCCUGCGAGGGUGACCGGCCACAUUGGGACUGAGAUACGGCCCGGACUCCUACGGGAGGCAGCAGUGGGGAAUAUUGCACAAUGGGCGGAAGCCUGAUGCAGCAACGCCGCGUGCGGGAUGACGUCCUGCGGGUUGUAAACCGCUGUCGCCUGUGACGAAGCGUGAGUGACGGUAAUGGGUAAAGAAGCACCGGCUAACUACGUG
rnacentral:rRNA from 1 species